CAGUCGCCGCGGGAAUACGAAGGGGGCUAGCGUUGUUCGGAAUCACUGGCGUAAAGCGCACGUAGGCGGAUACUUAAGUCAGGGGUGAAAUCCCGGGGCUCAACCUCGGAACUGCCUUUGAUACUGGGUAUCUUGAGUCCGGGAGAGGUUGGUGGAACUCCGAGUGUAGAGGUGAAAUUCGUAGAUAUUCGGAAGAACACCAGUGGCGAAGGCGGCCAACUGGCCCGGUACUGACGCUGAGGUGCGAAAGCGUGGGGAGCAAACAGGAUUAGAUACCCGCGUAGUCCCUGUCUCUUAUACA
rnacentral:rRNA from 1 species